rnacentral:rRNA from 1 species
UACGUAGGGUGCAAGCGUUGUCCGGAAUUAUUGGGCGUAAAGAGCUCGUAGGCGGUCUGUCGCGUCUGCUGUGAAAACUCAGGGCUUAACCCUGAGCUUGCAGUGGGUACGGGCAGACUAGAGUGCGGUAGGGGAGACUGGAAUUCCUGGUGUAGCGGUGAAAUGCGCAGAUAUCAGGAGGAACACCGAUGGCGAAGGCAGGUCUCUGGACCGAUGACUGACGCUGGAGGAAGCGAAAGCGUGGGGAGCGAACAGG